ACCUAAACCAACUGAUUUCCUCAGGGAGACUAACAUCUCAUUCAAACCACAGCAGCCUGCGAAAGCUAGGCUUCAUUCUUGUGUGUGUGUCCAGGAUCUUUCGUGGGCCCAAAGAAGUGAAGAGGGUCUUUACUGCCUUACCGCUAGUAUUUGCCACAGAAGCAGAAGCGAAGACAUCACAUCAUGAUGCUGGCUUCUGCUGCAUGUAAAGGCUAUGCUGUGGUGCUGUGCUAUGACUUAUAUGGGCCAUAGCAUGCAGAGAAAGAAUAUUUGAUUAAGGACCAAGACAUCUUACAGAAGAAAGGGUUUACAGUUCCAGAGUGAUGAGCAUUCCUGGUGACAGAGUUGAAGCAUGGAGCAUGACAGCAAGUGACAGGCAAGACUACAUAGACAAGGAGGAAACUGAGAGCUCACACUUGACAAAGCAGAGAAUGCGAACUGGAGUGUAAACUGAAGACCAGAAGCUGACCUUUGGAGACAUCUAGUCCAGCAGAGCAGCUGCUGCAUUCUCAGUAUCUUCAACGUGAGACAACCAUGUCGGAAAACCCAACCCAUAUCACUUUCAGGUUCUGAUGUCACUGUCUGGCCCAAGGCCCCUGCAUGCAGUGGUGCUCCUGCAUAUGAACUCACAUAAGCGCAAGCAAACACAUAAAAACAAAAAGAUAAAGUUUCACAGCGAAACAUUCACACCACAGCAUGGACGCUUCUCUCUGCACUUGGACAUAUUUUCAGUGGAAAGAAGAGAAUGCAGACAAAAAAAGGCAAUAGGCACUCGUAUUGAAGUUCUGACAAUAGAAGAAGUUGGCCAUCUCAUUUCCAUCUUGCAUGCCAAAUCUUUCAUACUCUCCUGGAAGAUGACCCCAGCACAUCAAGGGCAAGAGAAUGAAGAUACAGAACAUUCCACUGCAAUCAUGUCCAAGACUGAUCACAGUAUCCGUUCGGAUACCAUCCUUGUUCCCCCCUUUACAUGGUGAAACUGGUAUUGGAGAGAAGCUGUAGUCAAGACAAACUCACACAGACAGUGCACCCCAAGAAGAUAGCCAGGGCUCCAGAAAAGAGAGAUGUGUCGCUCUGCCAUCAUACCUACCAUGAGCAAUUGGAUGCCAGGCACUCACAUUUCCAAACCUAAGCGUGCAGCAGAGACGGC
rnacentral:lncRNA from 1 species